CGAAGAUCUGGAAUAGAGCUCGCCUCGGCUCUGCUGGCCUUGGCUGCAGCUCUUCCAGAAACCCGGGGCGCCCACAGAAGAAUCUCUUACCUGGCUCUGUCUUCAGGGAUGACAUCAUCGGCUCACGCCAGUCUUCCAGGACCACCUUCUGGAUGCCAAGGCUGCUGCUCGAGUACCUGCUGUGCACCUCUACCUCCUGAGCCAAGGAGCAUGGAUUCCAGGAACCCACUACCAUACAGAGCAACUCCUUGUGGACUCCCCCUGGGAUCAGGACAGCGAGGGACAAGCGACAAAGAGGAUCAUCAGUGGCCAGCUAGUCUCUCUGGGGUUCAAACCUUGAACCAGUGCCCUAGUGAGGGGGCACUGGCCAUGGCCCUUGACCUUUGCUCUGCUUGUGUCUUGAGUCUGAGUCCUUUCCUGUACAUCUGUGCUUGUGUUCAUCUGCUAGUGAACUGGAGUGCUGCCCUCCCCGAGGAGGGUCGUCCCUUGUGACUGAUCAUGCUGUCCUAACAAUGUCCUGAGCAAAAGGGUCCCUUUGGGAACCUCUCAGGAGGGGGACCCGGGUCAGGGGCGACCAGCAUCUUGCUGGCAACUCCGUGGGUGGGGUGGGGUGGGGUGCUUCCUUCUGGAAUGAGCACGUGGCUGACCCCCAAAGGCAUGUCCCCUCCCCCUCCUCCACCCACCUUCUCGGAGAUGUCCCUUUUGGGGUAGUGGGGACAUUAGGAGCAACCUCCUAGGGUUGUUGUGAGAAUUAAAUGAACUGCAGCAGCCUGAGGCAGGGCUGGGCAGAGACCUCAGCACAUGUUUGUUGAAAGGUUUGCAGGUGGAUCUAGUCCUCCCGUUCAUGGCUCAUGUGUCUCAACCAUUCUCUCGCAGACUCCUGCAGCCCCUAUGCCCAGGGCUCUCCUUGCGCCAGAGGUAGGUGGGAAAGAGAACUGGGAGAGCCCGGACUCACUCAUGAGAUUGAACUUAAAUUCACACGGAGGACACUUGGACUCUUGCCACAUUGGCCCCGGCUUCUCGAGGCCUGUCUACACUCGCUGCUUUCCUUCCUCACCUCCAAUUUCCCCUCCAACCCACUGCUUCCUGACUCGCUCUUCUCCAUCGAACGGCUCUCGCUCAGGCCUGUCGCGUCUUCCUGUGCCAUUUGCUGUUGUGCUCAGGUUCCACGAGCUGCCCAUCUCCACAGAAGAGCAGCUGGCAUUGCCCACUGGCCAUGCCGGCUGAAGAAAAGAAGACUGAGGACCCCAGGACGCCCAGCGCGAGGACCCCAGGAAGCCCAGCGCGAGGACUCCACCCACGACGCCCAGCGCGAGGACUUCACGCACAACACGUUGCAACUCUCCUGGAUUAGGCCAAAGCCAUCAUCUGGAAUCCUGCGUGGGACCCUGGACACACGGACACAAACACCUGCCCCCCAGGACCCUCCAACUGUAAAUCGAUUGGAAGCGCCCUUGUGAGCUGGGGCCUUCAAAGGGCUGAGGAGAAAAUGCAGGCCGAGAGACCAGCUUCUCAAAUAGGCUUCAAGCCUCCAUGACCUGAGCUCACCCCCUGGAAAUGUCUGGAAAACAUAAUGGGCAGGUUUUCUGUCUUCAAAGUUUCCAUCAAAACCUCUUCAAGUUCUUUAUUGUUUAGGACUGAGACACUUGGGGACAGUAAUGGGGACUUUCUUUUGUAUCUGUCUUGAAAGGCCAAAAUAUUUUUAUAUUGCUGUAGACAAAGCCACCUAUUUACAAAUGGACUCUGUUCCGUCGUUUCCCACCAGGAAGACCGUACUAUGUUUGUGUCUCUAUGUAUUCUGGGGUCUUGAAACAGGUUUCUCAUGGGGAUGGCCAUUCACUAGAGCCCAGAGGGGCAGAAGGGGAAGUGUCUACCCUGCCAAGGGGGUCUGGGGAAGGAGGGGGGCUAGUCUCAGAUUUGCUCCUUGUAUGUCUAGGGUAAACCCUGGGAGAAUCUGGUGGUAAAAGAACAUAUGCUGUGUUUGCCCCA
rnacentral:lncRNA from 1 species